UACGUAGGGUGCGAGCGUUAAUCGGAAUUACUGGGCGUAAAGCGUGCGCAGGCGGUUCGUUAAGUUCGAUGUGAAAGCCCUCGGCUCAACCGAGGAAGUGCACCCGAAACUGCUGAGCUUGAGUGCCGGAGAGGAUGGCGGAAUUCCCCAAGUAGAGGUGAAAUUCGUAGAUAUGGGGAGGAACACCGGUGGCGAAGGCGGCCAUCUGGACGGUAACUGACGCUGAGACGCGAAAGCGUGGGGAGCAAACAGG
rnacentral:rRNA from 1 species